CUUAACGCUGUUACUCUUCAGUCAUCCAGCCGCGGCCUCGAACACUAGCCAUAACCAAUGAACGAUACUCGGGAAUGUCUUAAGAUCGACAACCUCAGCGUCUGUCUCUCACACGAACCUCGAAGUCAAGUCGCACACCCACUUGAAGUUCCCCCGAAGCCUCAACGCAGCGAAGUCAAUCCCACACGCUUCGAAGUCCGUCACACACGUACUCGAAGUCACUCACACCUGGGCCCGCGUUCAAUCAGUCUUCGGCGCGGUCACCUGUUGACAGCCGCUCUUGACACCUGGUUCAGUCAAUCUUUCGAUCUCCCAAGACGUUGUCAACGGAAUACGGGAAUCACUUGAGUGUGUCGGUUCUCUCUUCGCAUAAAGCGCUCAGAUCGAAUCCAACACGCUUAUAAGGUUCACAAUGAAGAGUUAUCACGUGGAGAAUGAGAUGGAGAGGUUGAGUACUUGAUUUCGUCUUGUCGCCCGAAUACUAGACUCGAUUCCCUUCAUGAAACGCUAGAGGUUACGGCUUGAAACGCUUCCGAAGAGUUGUCACGUGGAAGACAAGAUGGAGAGGUUGAGUACUUGAUUCCGUCUUGUCACCCGAAUACAAGACUCGAUUCUCUUUAUGAAACACGCGAAGAUGCAGUUUCAAACACUUCCAACCGCACUGGACGGAGGUAAAACGACGAGAUAGACUAAAGGACGGAAGUCAGGUCCCUCUACUUCACCUCGACACGUAAAGCAAGUCCAACACGCCUCUCUGUACCCUGGACGGAGGUAACGCGACGAGGUAGGCGAAAGACGGAGAUCGUGUCCCUCGCUGUGCCGCGCCUGGACGCUGACGAGGCAGUGAUUGCAGGAGACACAACCAGUACGCCACCACGCCGCCGAGUCAGGUCCACCGGCGCCCUGAGUACAUAAAAGCCUACCGCGGCGAGUCACAGUUACAGCAGUGACGUAGGAAGUUGGUGACGUCAAAGGACUCGCCUCUAUCGUCUCUAUUUACCCGCCAUGAUAAUGCUCGCUGGCCGUUCUAGCGCGGCAACUCUCUCCCUGACCCUCCACCUCCUCCUCCUCCUCCUCCUCCACAUCCUCUCCCCGCCUCUCUAUUCCACCGCAAUCAUCAAUAUUUAUUCCAUUCCACGUCCGGCCCUGAGCGAAAGGUAAUGAGAGAUGAGUAAUUCAGUUUCACAAGCCUAAUACUCCGAGCCGGGGCAGCAGCAGCCGGCCUAUGUUUUAAUUACUUAUAGUGCGUUUCGUUAUAAAAAAGGACACAGGAAAUAUUUCAUCAGAUGGCAACCGACGUCAGAGUUGAAUACCAGUUUGUGUUGGUGCCCAGCGGCGUAAUGAGACAGACACAUGCGGUCACAGACUCCCUUCCCUUCGCGUCACUGUAUGAGAACUUAAUUACUUAACUUAGAGGAACGCAACGAAGAAAAAAAAGGUAGACCGUUCCCCCUUCGGCUAUGCGUGUCUACCUGUCUAUCUGUAUCAAUGUGUGUAUGUUUGUAUGUCUGUCUGUCUCUCCCUCUGGCAUCAAGUACUCUAGUCGAUACGGGUCUCUCUCUCUCUCUCUCUCUCUCUCUCUCUCUCUCUCUCUCUCUCUCUCUCUCUCUCUCUCUCUCUCUCUCUCUCUCUCUCUCUCUCUCUCUCUCUCUCUCUUCCUAUUAUUUUCCUUCUUUUCCUUUAUCUCCCCAUUACAUUUUUUUCCUUUUCGUUACCUUUCCUUCUCUUACCCACCUCCUUUUCCUUUCCUUCUACCCAUUCCCCCCCUCUCUCUCUCUCUCUCUCUCUCUCUCUCUCUCUCUCUCUCUCUCUCUCU